UACGGAGGAUGCGAGCGUUAUCCGGAUUUAUUGGGUUUAAAGGGUGCGUAGGCGGUCCGUUAAGUCAGCGGUAAAAUUGCGGGGCUCAACCCCGUCGAGCCGUUGAAACUGGCGGCCUGGAGUUGGAGAGAAGUACGCGGAAUGCGCGGUGUAGCGGUGAAAUGCUUAGAUAUCGCGCAGAACCCCGAUUGCGAAGGCAGCGUACCGGCUCUACACUGACGCUGAGGCACGAAAGCGUGGGUAUCGAACAGG
rnacentral:rRNA from 1 species